rnacentral:lncRNA from 1 species
UCUCAGAUCCAGUCGCAGGUUGUGGCUCAGAUACAGGCUCAGCAAGGUGGUGCGCCCCAGCAGAUCAAACUGCAGUUGCCCGUUCACGUUCAGCAGAACAGUGCUGCGCAGGCCCAGCACGCUCAGAGUGUGCUCACAGUGCAGGCAGCCAGUGUGCGAGAGCAGUUGCAAAGGGUUCAGCAACUCAGGGAUCAGCAGCAGAAGAAGAAGCAGCAGAUAGAAAUGGAGCGUGAGCACACCCUCCAAGCUUCUAACCAAAGUGAAAUCAUUCAGAAACAGGUGGUGAUGAAGCAUAACGCUGUGAUAGAGCAUU